GUCCGCCUUCCCCCUUCUGUGUUGACUGUGGUUGCAGUGCGUUGUUUUGCUGGUGCUGUUUCGGCGCUGGUUUAGUGGGUUUGAAGACUGUUCGCCUUUCAGGAGCAGGGGUCCCACGGGUGAACGGGGUGAAUCUUCCUCCCUGUUGUGGUGGUUCUUCUUUAUUGUGUGCUGUGUAACACUUUGAGUGUUUGGUAGUAUGAUCCGAGUGCACGGUGGUAUGUGCG